GAAAAUGAAACUAAGAGAGUUGAAAAGAUGAGAAUAAUAACAAGAAAAUUAACCAAAUUCCAGUAAAUUAUGUUUUAGGUCUAUGAUUUUUGUUUUAAACAAUGUUUUUAGCAUCUAACAAUGAAUUUACUGGGUGUAUCAUUGGCAAAUCAGUCGACCAAACUCCUCACAUUACAUGGUUGCUGUUCUGCCUUAAUUAGCCAUAUUGGAGAACGAAAAGUGGAAGCAGCAAUGAAGCUAUAAAGCCAUCAAGCCAUAGAACUCCUGCUGUUUUAUUUAGUAGUAAAUAGUUUAAUUACCUACACUUGUAAGAAGCUAAUGGCCUUCUAUCCUGCCGUAGAGAGUGGAGAGUGGUUAACGGGACGUAUACGUAAUCUAUACACAGCAUGAAAUCGUUUGGGAAAUGCUAAAACUGGGUUUAUGGAUUUCAAUAAUACAACAACAACAAUUGUGGCAUGACGUCAAUCGACAAUGUCGCACUUCGAAUGCGUUUGCCAUUCUAUAAACAAAACAGAAAAGCCCUUUGUGAUGAUGAUGAUGAAGAAGACCUGCUGGUAGAAUUGAACCCACCAUAACCACCAUGGCCAAUAGAUCAUAAAUCAUACACACACACUGAUAAUAAGAACCAUGGCUAAAUGCUGGUAAUGCGGCGUUUGUCUAUAGCCUGGAAACAGAGGAGGAGUAAGCAAAACGGCUCGAAAGGCCGCCGCGUCAUCGCACCGGAACAGGUUAAUAAAUUUCCCAUCGGACUAAUCGUAUUCCAUAGACUCAUUAGGCGUUGCCAGCUGUCAUAUAUGAAGGAUAUCAUGAAAUACAUGUCUCUACACAUACACACACACACACAACCACACACACACAUAUGAACUCUGAGUUUGCUGACCAGUUUGACCAAAAAUCAAGUAAUUUCAAUUAUUUUUAUUUUUAUUUUUGGUGUUCCAGAAGACAAGUUCAGCUAUAAAUCAUCAUCUGUGGCGGCUGGAAACCUAAGCAGUUGGCCAGACCAACGACGACAACAAAAAAAAAACGAGCACCCAACCAGUUUUAACCCACACCUACUCCAACACACAAACAGUGCAAACUUCCCACCAAAAAAAAAAAAAAAAAAAGAAAUACUCA